CUAUUUUAUUUAUUUUUUUUAUUUAUUUUAUUAUUUAUUUAUAAUAUUUAUAAUAUUUUUUAUUUAUUUAUUUUAAUUUAUUUAUUUAUUUUAUUAUUAUUUUUUAAUAAUAAAUUUAUUUUUUAUUGGUGUUCAAUUUGCCAACAUACAGAAUAACACCCAGUGCUCAUCCCAUCAAGUGCCCCCCUCAGUGCCCGUCACCCAGUCACCCCCACCCCCCGCCCUCCUCCCCUUCCACCACCCCCAGUUCGUUUCCCAGAGUUAGGAGUCUCUCAUGUUCUGUCUCCCUUUCUGAUAUUUCCCACCCAUUUCUUCUCCCUUCCCUUCUAUUCCCUUUCACUAUUAUUUAUAUUCCCCAAAUGAAUGAGACCAUAUAAUGUUUGACCUUCUCCGAUUGACUUACUUCACUCAGCAUAAGACCCUCCAGUUCCAUCCACGUCGAAGCAAAUGGUGGGUAUUUGUCAUUUCUAAUAGCUGAGGAAUAUUCCAUUGGAUACAUAAACCACACCUUUAUCCAUUCAUCUUUUGAUGGACACCAGGCUCCUUGUCUAUUUUUUUUUAUUUUUUUUACUUUUUAUUUUUUUGUCUAUUUUAAUAAGCUAAAGAAACUUAACUCUUUCAUGACUAGCCUCAACUUUUAUUCUUCCUUUUUGUUUAUUUUUUUUAAUUUAGGGGAAACACAUUGAUUUAAGGGAAAAGAGAUCAGGAGCUAAACUGAGCAUUUGAGUGACUCCAGACACCAUAACUAAGUACGACGAUGCUGAUCCAAGUGUUCUGUUGGCCAGAAAACCACCACCUGCGUGUCCUAGAAGUGUUUAUCUGUGAGUCGACUGGUGGAAACCCCAGUUGUAAUUCAGGGUCCGUAGCAAGCUCAAGUUGUCGAAUAUGCACCCGCGAGGAAGUGAGAGUUGUAAAGAGCCAGAAUAUCGUGUUUUUAUGGGUGCCCCUUGGUGUGAUAUUUAAAUCUGAUGCCUUGGUGACCUGGGACCACCUAGGGCUACCCUGGGACGAUAGAGUGACACGAGCAAGCUGCCUUGAGAUGGUUGAGUUAGAGAGCCUGGUCACUGGAUGGGCAGAGUGAGAUUCCGGGAAGAAACUGUAGGGCCUGACAUGACCAAGGCACGCAGCGCCUGCCUCACCGCAGACACAGGCCCCCGCGGACCCACAGGGAUCAGAGACUCCACAUCACAGCAGAAGGAAGUCCCAGCGUCGUAGUGCAAGGAGAGCGUGGAGAAUGAGGCGUUAUGGUCAUCUUGGGAAGUCUACCCCAGAAGCAACUAAAAGUCAAAGACUUUGUUUCUUACUACAUGUUUUGUUUGUGAGCAUCCCGUAGUACUAUGUUUGCUCAUGGGCCUGAAAGACUCUAAUACUAUAGGUUCGUUCAUAGUAGACUCUAAUAAUAAUAAUAGGUUAAAUAUAUGUAAUAUAUAAUAAUAUAUGCAUAAAGGUAAUAACACUAUUUUCGUAUUGUGGCUCUGAGAACUUCUCUAAACACGUGCAUUCUCACUGGUGUAUCAUAAACCAGUGAGUGUAGUAGAUAGAGACUUAGAAACCAUAUUUUCGAAUAAUUGGAAUGUCACAUGUUAGAAUAGAAAAUAUGGGGGAUCCCUGGGUGGCUCAGUGGUUUAGCGCUGCCUGCAGCCCACGGCCUGAUCCUGGAGUCCCGGGAUCAAGUCCCACGUUGGGCUCCCGGCAUGGAGCCUGCUUCUCCCUCUGCCUGUGUCUCUGCCUCUCUCUCUCUCUCUGUCUAUCAUAAAUAAAUAAAAUCUUUUAAAAAAAAAGAAAAUAUGA
rnacentral:lncRNA from 12 species